rnacentral:snRNA from 1 species
AGCUUUGUGCAGUGGCAGUAUCGUAGCCAAUGAGGUUUAUCUGAGGCGCAAUUAUUCCCAAUUAAAGUUUCUUACAGUGCCUCCUUCUUGCUACUGUUUGCUUUCUAGACUUUGAGGACCCAGGGUC